UGUCGAAAAUAUCAUUGCUAGAAGAAGCAAAAGAUAACAAAGAAAACACAUUCGAUAUAAAAUGCGUCAAUGACCGAUUGUCAAAUAUGGAGAGCGAUGUCGAAGAGUUACAAUGGAGAUCAAUGACUAACAAUAUCAUUAUAUCCGGAUUAAAGCACGAGUCAAAUGAGGAUACAGAGAACAUUGUAAGGGAUUUUAUUCGCAAAAAACUCGGAAUCGUUGAAAAUAUGAAUUUCGUUUCUGUACAUCGUUUCGGAAAGCAAAGACAAAAUAUAAUGACUAAGUUUGUAUCUUUGAAAGAUAAACAGUUAGUCAUGAGGAACUGUCACAAAUUAAAGGGGACAAAUAUUUCUGUCCGCACACAAUUUCCUGUAAAAAUUGAAAAGAAGAGGAAAAGCUUAUAUCCUGUUUUAAAGCAGGCAAAGAAAGACCGAAAGAAAGCUGUUUUGAUAAGAGAUAAACUUUUCAUAGAAGGAGAAUUGUACAAAACAAACGAUGACAGAGUAUCAAAAAACAUGGAUCGCAAGGAAAUACCGAACAGAAACAGCCAAUUUUUUGAAGCCGAUAAAUUAUCGGAUAAAUGUCCAUUAAUUAAUUCGACCCGACCCAGUGAUUUUAACUCAUGGAAUCGUCCGAUACCAAAUCUGCGGGAAAUGCUGAAGCGGAAUAGAAUUAAUUCUGACGAACCUGAUACGUAAUUUAAAGCCUGGCCUAUACAAAUUAGUGCGAAGUGCAUGAACUCUAUCAAUAAUCUAUCUUGAAAAAAAUUAAUUCUACGCUAGUACUAUCCUAAACUUAUUUCACAGAUACUGAAAACUUCUUUUUCACCCGUAGUGAUAAAAGAUUUGCGUUAUUUUUUAUUUGUAAUAUUUAUUGAGCAAUUUUUUUUUGUAUACUACAUAAUGCUGCUCUUGUUGCACACAAUAUGUGCCUGAGUGUAUUAAUAAACUUGUCUUGUCUUGUCUUGU
rnacentral:lncRNA from 1 species